ensembl:snoRNA snoRNA:Psi18S-1347c snoRNA:Psi18S-1347c
AGCAACUCCUACCCAUUGGUUGGUCAGAUUCAACCCUUUUUGACACGACUAAGAUUCAUAGUUGCCAGAUAAAAGAUCAGACUUGACUUACCAUGCACUGCGCUGCUUUUGCUCAUGGCCAGUGCAGAAGUUGAAGAGUCACAUUG